UGAUGGGUCCAGCAGAUGGAUAACAAAUGGACAACUCAAAGGUGGGCAGCAAAAUGUCAAGAUUUUCAAAAAAGGAAGAACGUAUAAACAAACAGGUGAAUCCCCUUGGAUAGCCAAAGGUGACAUUUCCAAUAGCCAAGCGUGUGAUUCUUAUUUUUGUUUCUCUCUCUCUCUAUCACGAUGGCCUUCGAACUGCAUUUAGCAGCGCCAAACGCAAAUUGCAAUUAUAUUAUUUCACGCUCCGCUUAAAGUCAGACCAUAUAUUUUCUCGUUUUCUGAAGGGGAUUGUUUUCAAGAUCAGUUGACGCCAGAGGCUUAUUCAGAUUUAUUCUUCCACGUAUAGCCUUGGAGAAAACGAAAUCUGUUGAAUACGAUGCGGACUGUGUUGUUGGCCGUUUGAGUUGCAAUCAGGACGCCGGUUGGAGAAAUAGAUUGCAAGCCAUUGAAGUGUAUUGUUUAUCUCGAGAUGCUUCCAUUCUCGUGUUCACCCGUGAACAUGGAAGAGUGCAAAGGAAGAAAAGCCAUUACAACUAAAAGAAAACAAAACACUCGACAGACUUAGCAGGAAUGGCUAUCAGUUGAACUAUUAGAAUCAAACGAUGUCCACCUUCUUUGUUCCUAUAGUCUGACCAUGGAACACUGCCGGUUCGACGGCCUAGCCCGCAGCCUUGUGGUGUUCUAUACGAUGUAGAAAAGCAUUUCGAGAGCGUGCAAUUGUUAAAAUAGCUACGACGCAGUGUAUUAUAAUCAUAUGAUUUAUACGAUCUACAACAAUAAAACAGUUUGCUGUAGUCCAGCUGAUAACACGUUGUCGGUCAUUAAAUACGUUUAUUGACAAGGACCAGGACACCUUUAAUUUAAUUUGUAUAAUUUAAUGAAGGGAGCCGUUUUUUUCUUUAAUUAUUAUUAUUUGAGUUUUUUUGUGCAUGGGCGAAAAAGGCAUUCCCCGUUAUGUGUAGCGGGUGAUUCCUACCUUGUUUGAAUAAAUCUGCAUAGUAAUCCCCUCGGCAUCUUGGCUGCAUUCCAUAACGACUUUUGGUGCUGAUGAACUAACUAAAAUCAAAGUGCAAAUACCCAGCAUGCCAAAUUCGCCAGCGACAUUCAAUUGACUUUGGGGUGAUGUCUGAUUGCGAUCGUCAUUCUCUCGCAUUCAUUAGUGCGCGUUUCCAUUGUCAAAGGAAGUCUCACGAAUAACAACAUGCAGUCGCAAUUUUUAAUGUUUAUAUUUUCAGUCUCAGCCAAAGAGCGAAGCAAUCUGACGAUAAAAAUGCGUGGGAUAGAAAUUCGCCAUAGUUUUGAAGAAGAAAAAACAACCACAGUUGUAAUGACAAAGUAACUGGUGUGAAGGGUGGAAUGGAGUCGGCUAAAUCAGACAACGCAAUUCGAGUUCGUUCGUGACUUUCAUUCGACUUUCAGACUCUGGCGUUUUGUAAAUGUAAAAUACUUUACUUAUAUUCCCAUCAAUUGUAAUUGCUCGAUCCAUCAUUAUAUAAACAUUGCUGGCGUGUCGUGAAACAAAACCCGUUCUUUUGAUUCGCUGUUGAACUGGUUGUGUGUUUGGAACUCGAUCUGGCGAGCGUUCACCUGACCAUCAACGAAGGAAUGAGAAACAAAAGAAAUUGUUUGCAAGCACAGAAUAUCGAUAGACUUGCGUGAUUGAAUGCCGCAAAUUCACCUUCCGUUCUAAUAUCUACAUGACAACGUAUGACAAACAUAUUGAACAUUACUAAGUCUCCACGUAUGUACUUGCGUAACAAUGACAGCUGUUUCUAGUUCCUGUUUCCAGACUCCAAAGUGGGGCUUUUCGAAUCAUGGUUUGCGUGUGUAUCUCUACAAAAACGAUUGUUAACUGUAUCCUUUUAUUUUAUUUUUUAAAUGUAAAUUAUGACAAACAAAAUAUUUUCCCGGAUAACUUCAUUUUUGCAUUUAUUGUGGGACUAGAAUCGAUUGUUUACGACAGAGUUUCAUCUUGAACUGUGUAGUACUGUACAUUGUGAGGGAACUUCGUCUAGAAUGCCGAAGGGAAACAAAAACUGAAAAAAACCAACAAGACACCUGUAAACGUCCUGAGUGUUAAUUCACUGACUUUUUAAAAUUGUCCUAAAUUUGAAAAGCAGUUGUCAAAUGUUUCACAGUACACAUCAACAGGUGUGUGUGUGUGUAAUGAAUCCUGCACAAAAUGCAAAACAGUUUUUUUAAAGCCAUCUGUGGACAACAUAUCUAGAUUAUUACAUAUUUAAUUAUAUUCAAGUCUAGACACGUUGUGCCAUCUGUGGACCACAACAUAUUUAUAUUAUUGUGUAUAUUUAAUCAUUUACUUUUCAAAUUGAGGUAGAAUGGAUAUUUCAAGUCUAGACACGAUUUUUCCAUAAAUAUCCGACCCUUCCAAGUGGCGGGAAAAGCUGUGUGUCGCUAUUGUGUUUGCAAAGGGUUGUUUUCUAACCCCCUCCCUCUCACUUUCUAAAAAGAAAACGAUGUUUUUCUCCAUGUCGCUGCAGUAAUGUUAACCUUGAACAAAAAUUGCAGUGGUACUAGCAGUUUCCCGCCAAUCGGAGACGAGUGUACAAAGCAAGACAAUGUAUAGAAAAGACUUGUGCGAUUGGAUGCCAUAUUUGAUCAAACUCACCCUGUUACACGUUGGAUCAGAUGACGUGUACACGUCACUCCACUUCCCGGGAACGAGGGUAGUUUCUUCAUCAUUGGCAGUCGACCUCGCGCGAUUCUUCGUAGUUUGACCGCUGUAAUGAGAGAAGCACGAGACCUGCUGUUGCCAAAGCAACGACGUAAGAUUCUUUGCCGAGGAGCUUCAUCCCGAACGUUGUCCACUGUGUGCGAUCUUUGCCACAUAAAACUGAACCAACCCGUUUGUUGUUUUCGCUGUUUCAAACUGGUUGGGUGAUGGACCUCUUUCUUGUUCGAUGCGGACGUUCAUCCAACGAUGAAACACUUUGGUCAACAGCGACAACUGAGAUUCAACCAAAUCGCUGAUCAAACGACAAGAAAAGAAAAAGAAUUUUCAGCUUCGAGUUGGGAAAUUUUAUUGGCAAAAAAGCGAUCGCAGAAAUCGAUGUAACACAAUGAGUAAUUCAACAACCGUUUAAGUGGACAAGAUAAUACGUGUAGAUUAUGAAGAUGUCGUUGGUUCGUUGAACAAGGCGCCCGGCGCCAUUAGCCACCUUACGUUUUCUAAACGAACAAUGAAAGGCAAUCGCUGGCGUUGUUUUCAAUCGAUAGGUUUUUUUCGAUCCAAAAUCGAUUGAACAACAUCACAAUCGUUUUAUUCCUGUUGGUUGGCGAAGUCGAUUUCGCCGCCGCUGGCCGGACUGGAAUCGGCGGAGGGAGCAACGCCGGCCUCAGCGACCGCAGUGCCGUUGGACUUUUGUCCUUCACGCCAUCCUAGGUAAUUGCUGCCGUAACCACUUUCUGUAGAUAAUGGCCGAAAUUAGCAAAAUAAGGAAAUCGUUAACAAUCAAGUCAUUCAAGUAUGAAAGAAACAUGUUUCAAGGCUCGAUUAAUUUUUAACCUGAAAAAAGAAUGGCACAGAGGACGCUGCCAUUUUGUUUUUACAUACCAAUGCUAAGGCUGUUGUAUCCCGAGUUUCCAUACGCGACAUGUCCUCCGCCAACGUUGUCCCCGUACAGUCCCGUAUUGUAUCCAGUGUUCGUUCCGUAUCCAGUGUUCGUUCCAAAUCCGGUGUUUCCGUAUCCAGUAUUGAUUCCAGUAUUUGUUCCGUAUCCAGUGUUCGUUCCGUAUCCAGCGUUAGUUCCGUAGCCAACGUUAGUUCCGUAUCCAGCGUUAGUUCCGUAUCCAGCGUUAGUUCCAUGUCCAGUGUUCGUUCCAAAGCCGGUAUUGGUUGCAUAACCCGCGUUCGAUCCGUAACCCGUGUUUAUUCCGGAACCCGUACCGUAGCCUGUGCUGCCGUAGCCGGUGUUGCCGUAUCCGGUAUUGCCGUGGCCGGUAUUGCCGUAGCCGCUGUGACCGUAUCCCGCGUUACCACCGAAAGCUAUGCAACACAUAUGAUUUUAAUAACAUUGUUCACCUUAUUGUUAACUGAUUUCCACGAAAAAGAUCAAACUUACUUCCUCCGUGGUUGAUGUUUUGCCCGUAUCCGGCACUGGCUCCCGGAGUAUGGUAACCACUUCCGCCAAAUCCUGAUACAAACCCAACAGCAAUGCCAACCCAUUAUUUAAAAAUUUCGUUUUAUCAAUUCUUGAUCACAAGUCUCAAGAGUUUUAUCGUAAAUGAUUACCACCGGCAGCGUUGUUGGCGUGGUAGCCAGCGUUUUGGUGGCCAAGCUGUUGCUGCAUGGUCAGACUGCUACUUUGCUGCUGAUGAAUGCUGCUCUGUUGUUGAUAAACUGUACUGCUCUGUAAUUGACCUAUCCACCCCCGAAAAUGUUUUGUUUUCAAAAUUCAAUUGUUCAUUUAAAUUAGAUUCUCUCAUUACCUGCUUGGUGGCCAUAAUUGGGACGGUAUCGCUCGUCAACCUUUUCACCUUCAGCCAAUUCGGAUGGGGCGGCUGCUGGAUUGGCCAGCUCGUCCACAGGUGCCACAGCAUCCAAUACCUCCGGUGAGACAACAAUGGGAGCCUCUUCUUCAGGGUACGGCAUGGCAACAGCCAACGCCAACAUCAAUAACUAUCGAUACAACAUGUUGAAUGAAAAUUGAAACAAACCAACAUCAAACGUGAGACAUUUCAAAUCAGAAAUGAAAUUGGAAAAUAACAAAAAGUAAAAUGAAAAUGACUUACCGUUAAAAUGAAGCGAAACAUUUUUUCCCUAGGAUUAUGGAGAGCUUCUCUUCCGGCGGAUGAUGUGAUCGCUUGGACGGUUCGUGUGCGGAUGUGUCCUACUCGCUUUGGAUGGUGCCGUAUUUAUAGUCAAACCGACUGUACCGAGCCAUGUGAACAAAGCAACAGCGUCAGCAUACGAAGGUCGAUGCGGCGUAUAGGUGUGUUCCAAUGCGUUCAUUGGAUAUCUCCCUCAAACAGGAAUAACAUGAUGCACACGUUCAUGUAGUAUCAGACUUGGGAGACAUUUGUCAACAUUGAAUCAAGGACGCAGCUGAUUGAAAAGAAUACUGCGCACCCGCUUAAACGAAAUUAACGCAAAGCAAUUGGAAAAAUAUCCUUGAGUGGCUUGUGUCAAUACAAAAUGCAAUUAUCAGCAACACCUUGUUUCACCUUUCUAAUGGACACGCGUCUGCGGCAAAGCAAACGUGAACGGGGUAUAAAAUGACGUCCGAUGAGAUGGAAAAGGGACAUCGAGCUUCAUCGCUGACUUCGAUAGGCCAUUCAUUUCCAACGAGUGCUCUCACGAAAAUGCGUUUCAUCAUCCAGCUGGUACUGCUCGUCACUAUUUGUGCGGCCCUUUAUUCUCGAGUUGACGCAGACCCGGUAGACAACGAUCAUCAAGG